rnacentral:lncRNA from 1 species
AUGGGGGUGGGGAAGAUGGCAGAUGUGGAAGAUGGAAGAUCCCCAUAGAUGUGGGGAGAGGCAGACAUGGGGACAGGGAUGGGACAAACAUGGGGACAACACGGUGGGGAAGCAGGGGACAGCCUUUAGGAUAAAGCCAUGGGGACAGGGGACACACAAGGGGACAGAAAUGGGGACAAAGUCAUGGAUAGGGGUGGGGAAGAUGUGAGGAGAGGUGGACAUGGGGACAGGAUGGGGACAGGGAUGGGGACAAGUGGGGGGCAGGAAUGGGGACAGGAUGGGGACAGGGAUGGGGACAGGGAUGGGGACAAGUGGGGGGCAGGAAUGGGGACAGGGAUGGGGACAGGGAUGGGGACAAGUGGGGGGCAGGAAUGGGGACAGGAUGGGGACAGGGAUGGGACAAACAUGGGGACACACGGUGGGGAAGCAGGGGACAGGCUUUAGGAUAAAGCUAUGGGGACAGGGGGCACACAAGGGGACAGGGAUGGGGACGAAAGUCGAGGCUCAGACUGGGAGGGUGUGUCCGAUAAGCCCCGCCCCCUCUCUCCCCAUUGGCUGCCGGCGGCUGUCACUCAACCUCGCCCCCUUUAAAAGCGGAGUCGGAGCGGAGCGGCGCAGAGCGGCGGAUGGCGAUGAGUGCGCGCAGUCCCGAUGCAUCCCCGCGUCCUACGGAGGCAGCCGAAGGGCAGCAGGAAGCCAAAGCUGCCGACCCCAAAAGAACAGAGGAGGAGGAGGAGCUGAUCGACAUCGAUCUGAACGCACCCGAAACGGAGCGGGCGGCUCUCGCCAUCCAGGGGAAAUUCCGACGUUUCCAGAAACGCAAAAAGGAAUCGGGACCCUAAAGACCCCCCCCCCCCCCCCCCCCCCCCCCUCCUACCCAUCAGCCCCCCGACCCCAUUAUUUGCAUAGGGACCACAGCCCCAUCCUGCUCCCCGACCUCAUUAUGGGGGCUCAGCUCACUUAUGGGAUCAAUGUAAAGUGUUCAGCCCUAACCUGUAAGCCCCCUUAAUUUGGGGGGGGGUGUCCCCAAAUGUCCCCUAUCCCUGCUGUAAUGGGGGGGGCACCUCUCCAUCCCCCGGGGUGACCCCAUUUAUCCCCCCCUUAAUAGUGAUGCUGAUGUUGGGGGGGGUUAUGGGAUGGUGUCCCCCAAAUGAGGGACCCCCCCUCCCAUAUCCUUUUAAAGGGGCAGGGGGUGAUGAAGGUGAACCUAUAUUCCCUAUAUUUCCCCCCUCCCCCACUUUGCUUUUUGGGGGGUGAGCACUGGAAUAAAGCAGUAGGAGAAGAGAACUGGUGUGGUCUG